UGAUCCUGGCUCAGAUUGAACGCUGGCGGCAGGCCUAACACAUGCAAGUCGAGCGGUAGCGGGAAGAGCUUGCUCUUUGCCGACGAGCGGCGGACGGGUGCGUAACACGUAGGAAUCUGCCCGGUAGUGGGGGAUAGCCCGGAGAAAUCCGGAUUAAUACCGCAUACGCCCUAAGGGGGAAAGCAGGGGAUCUUCGGACCUUGCGCUAUCAGAUGAGCCUGCGUCGGAUUAGCUGGUUGGUGGGGUAAAGGCCUACCAAGGCGACGAUCCGUAGCUGGUCUGAGAGGAUGAUCAGCCACACUGGGACUGAGACACGGCCCAGACUCCUACGGGAGGCAGCAGA
rnacentral:rRNA from 1 species